rnacentral:rRNA from 1 species
CAGAGGUGGCAAGCGUUGUUCGGAAUUACUGGGCGUAAAGGGCGCGUAGGCGGCCAUCUAAGUCAGACGUGAAAUCCCCCGGCUUAACCUGGGAACUGCGUCUGAUACUGGAGGGCUCGAGUUUGGGAGAGGGAUGUGGAAUUCCAGGUGUAGCGGUGAAAUGCGUAGAUAUCUGGAGGAACACCGGUGGCGAAGGCGGCAUCCUGGACCAACACUGACGCUGAGGCGCGAAAGCUAGGGGAGCAAACGGGAUUAGAUACCCCGGUAGUCCUAGCCCUAAACGAUGAAUGCUUGGUGUGGCGGGUAUCGAUCCCUGCCGUGCCGAAGCUAACGCAUUAAGCAUUCCGCCUGGGGAGUACGGUCGCAAGGCUG